UACAGAGGGUGCAAGCGUUGUUCGGAAUCACUGGGCGUAAAGGGCGCGUAGGCGGCCUGGUAAGCGUGCGGUGAAAGCCCGGGGCUCGACCCCGGGUCGGCCGUGCGAACUGCGAGGCUAGAGCACUGUAGAGGCAGGUGGAAUUCCGGGUGUAGCGGUGGAAUGCGUAGAGAUCCGGAAGAACACCGGUGACGAAGGCGGCCUGCUGGGCAGCGGCUGACGCUGAGGCGCGACAGCGUGGGGAGCAAACAGG
rnacentral:rRNA from 1 species